CUUAACAUUUUUGAAUAUCAUAUCAAAAAUUGACCGCUCCAGCGGGAUUCGAACCCGCGUCUUCGACAUACCGUGUCGACGCUCUAGCCAAUUAAGCUAUGGAACGAUAUACUCGCCAGAGCGAAACUUUUGAUAUGAUGAUUUUUACUUUCGGUUUAAGCGAACCGUGGCGCCGUCUAUAGUGAGUUCUUUACAGAGACUCGUAACUAUUCAAAGUUUCAUAUUACAAUGAAAAUCUUUGACAGGAGACGACACCAUGCUAUUUUUAAUAUGUACGAUUUUUAUUUUUGUGUUACCCACAAUUAGGAAUUCUAAACAUUUUUGAAUAUCUCUCUCUCUCUCUCUCUCUCUAUCUAUCUGUCUCCUGUCAAAGAUUUUCAUUGUAAUAUGAAACUUUGAAUAGUUACGAGUCUCUGUAAAGAACUCACUAUAGACGGCGCCACGGUUCGCUUAAACCGAAAGUAAAAAUCAUCAUAUCAAAAGUUUCGCUCUGGCGAUAUAUCGUUCCAUAGCUUAAUUGGCUAGAGCGUCGACACGGUAUGUCGAAGACGCGGGUUCGAAUCCCGCUGGAGCGGUCAAUUUUUGAUAUGAUAUUCAAAAAUGUUUAGAAUUCCUAAUUGUGGGUAACACAAAAAUAAAAAUCGUACAUAUACAGAUGUCUUAUUAUAUAAAAAUCAAUUUUGUU
rnacentral:tRNA from 1 species